AUGCAGUCGACGAGUUCCCGUUGAUUGACGUGCUUGCACUGAUUUCAACAUUGGAACGAGUGGCGAACUGGUGAGUAACACGUGGAAAACCUGCCCAGAAGCAGGGGAUAACACUUGGAAACAGGUGCUAAUACCGUAUAACAACAAAAACCGCAUGGUUUUUGUUUGAAAGGUGGCUUCGGCUAUCACUUCUGGAUGGUUCCGCGGCGCAUUAGCUAGUUGGUGAGGUAAAGGCCCACCAAGGCAAUGAUGCGUAGCCGACCUGAGAGGGUAAUCGGCCACAUUGGGACUGAGACACGGCCCAGACUCCUACGGGAGGCAGCAGUAGGGAAUCUUCCACAAUGGACGAAAGUCUGAUGGAGCAAUGCCGCGUGAGUGAAGAAGGGUUUCGGCUCGUAAAACUCUGUUGUUGAAGAAGAACGGGUGUCAGAGUAACUGUUGACAUCGUGACGGUAUUCAACCAGAAAGCCACGGCUAACUACGUGCCAGCAGCCGCGGUAAUACGUAGGUGGCAAGCGUUGUCCGGAUUUAUUGGGCGUAAAG
rnacentral:rRNA from 2 species